GACGAACGCUGGCGGCGUGCUUAACACAUGCAAGUCGAACGGGGAUAUACUGGAGGAAAGCUUCGGCAGGAAUCGGGUAUAUUCCAGUGGCGGACGGGUGAGUAACGCGUGAGCAACCUGUCCCAGACAGGGGGAUAACACUUGGAAACAGGUGCUAAUACCGCAUAAGACCACGGGGUCACAUGGCCCAGGGGUAAAAGAGGAAUCCGGUUUGGGGUGGGCUCGCGUCCGAUUAGCUAGUUGGUGAGGUAACGGCCCACCAAGGCGACGAUCGGUAGCCGGACUGAGAGGUUGAUCGGCCACAUUGGGACUGAGACACGGCCCAG
rnacentral:rRNA from 1 species